UUAAGCGACUAAGCGUACACGGUGGAUGCCCUGGCAGUCAGAGGCGAUGAAGGACGUGCUAAUCUGCGAUAAGCGUCGGUAAGGUGAUAUGAACCGUUAUAACCGGCGAUUUCCGAAUGGGGAAACCCAGUGUGUUUCGACACACUAUCAUUAACUGAAUCCAUAGGUUAAUGAGGCGAACCGGGGGAACUGAAACAUCUAAGUACCCCGAGGAAAAGAAAUCAACCGAGAUUCCCCCAGUAGCGGCGAGCGAACGGGGAGGAGCCCAGAGCCUGAAUCAGUGUGUGUGUUAGUGGAAGCGUCUGGAAAGGCGCGCGAUACAGGGUGACAGCCCCGUACACAAAAAUGCACAUGCUGUGAGCUCGAUGAGUAGGGCGGGACACGUGGUAUCCUGUCUGAAUAUGGGGGGACCAUCCUCCAAGGCUAAAUACUCCUGACUGACCGAUAGUGAACCAGUACCGUGAGGGAAAGGCGAAAAGAACCCCGGCGAGGGGAGUGAAAAAGAACCUGAAACCGUGUACGUACAAGCAGUGGGAGCCUCUUAAUGGGGUGACUGCGUACCUUUUGUAUAAUGGGUCAGCGACUUAUAUUCUGUAGCAAGGUUAACCGAAUAGGGGAGCCGAAGGGAAACCGAGUCUUAACUGGGCGUUAAGUUGCAGGGUAUAGACCCGAAACCCGGUGAUCUAGCCAUGGGCAGGUUGAAGGUUGGGUAACACUAACUGGAGGACCGAACCGACUAAUGUUGAAAAAUUAGCGGAUGACUUGUGGCUGGGGGUGAAAGGCCAAUCAAACCGGGAGAUAGCUGGUUCUCCCCGAAAGCUAUUUAGGUAGCGCCUCGUGAAUUCAUCUCCGGGGGUAGAGCACUGUUUCGGCAAGGGGGUCAUCCCGACUUACCAACCCGAUGCAAACUGCGAAUACCGGAGAAUGUUAUCACGGGAGACACACGGCGGGUGCUAACGUCCGUCGUGAAGAGGGAAACAACCCAGACCGCCAGCUAAGGUCCCAAAGUCAUGGUUAAGUGGGAAACGAUGUGGGAAGGCCCAGACAGCCAGGAUGUUGGCUUAGAAGCAGCCAUCAUUUAAAGAAAGCGUAAUAGCUCACUGGUCGAGUCGGCCUGCGCGGAAGAUGUAACGGGGCUAAACCAUGCACCGAAGCUGCGGCAGCGACGUUUAUGCGUUGUUGGGUAGGGGAGCGUUCUGUAAGCCUGCGAAGGUGUACUGUGAGGUAUGCUGGAGGUAUCAGAAGUGCGAAUGCUGACAUAAGUAACGAUAAAGCGGGUGAAAAGCCCGCUCGCCGGAAGACCAAGGGUUCCUGUCCAACGUUAAUCGGGGCAGGGUGAGUCGACCCCUAAGGCGAGGCCGAAAGGCGUAGUCGAUGGGAAACAGGUUAAUAUUCCUGUACUUGGUGUUACUGCGAAGGGGGGACGGAGAAGGCUAUGUUGGCCGGGCGACGGUUGUCCCGGUUUAAGCGUGUAGGCUGGUUUUCCAGGCAAAUCCGGAAAAUCAAGGCUGAGGCGUGAUGACGAGGCACUACGGUGCUGAAGCAACAAAUGCCCUGCUUCCAGGAAAAGCCUCUAAGCAUCAGGUAACAUCAAAUCGUACCCCAAACCGACACAGGUGGUCAGGUAGAGAAUACCAAGGCGCUUGAGAGAACUCGGGUGAAGGAACUAGGCAAAAUGGUGCCGUAACUUCGGGAGAAGGCACGCUGAUAUGUAGGUGAAGUCCCUCGCGGAUGGAGCUGAAAUCAGUCGAAGAUACCAGCUGGCUGCAACUGUUUAUUAAAAACACAGCACUGUGCAAACACGAAAGUGGACGUAUACGGUGUGACGCCUGCCCGGUGCCGGAAGGUUAAUUGAUGGGGUUAGCGGUAACGCGAGGCUCUUGAUCGAAGCCCCGGUAAACGGCGGCCGUAACUAUAACGGUCCUAAGGUAGCGAAAUUCCUUGUCGGGUAAGUUCCGACCUGCACGAAUGGCGUAAUGAUGGCCAGGCUGUCUCCACCCGAGACUCAGUGAAAUUGAACUCGCUGUGAAGAUGCAGUGUACCCGCGGCAAGACGGAAAGACCCCGUGAACCUUUACUAUAGCUUGACACUGAACAUUGAGCCUUGAUGUGUAGGAUAGGUGGGAGGCUUUGAAGUGUGGACGCCAGUCUGCAUGGAGCCGACCUUGAAAUACCACCCUUUAAUGUUUGAUGUUCUAACGUUGGCCCCUUACCGGGGUUGCGGACAGUGUCUGGUGGGUAGUUUGACUGGGGCGGUCUCCUCCUAAAGAGUAACGGAGGAGCACGAAGGUUGGCUAAUCCUGGUCGGACAUCAGGAGGUUAGUGCAAUGGCAUAAGCCAGCUUGACUGCGAGCGUGACGGCGCGAGCAGGUGCGAAAGCAGGUCAUAGUGAUCCGGUGGUUCUGAAUGGAAGGGCCAUCGCUCAACGGAUAAAAGGUACUCCGGGGAUAACAGGCUGAUACCGCCCAAGAGUUCAUAUCGACGGCGGUGUUUGGCACCUCGAUGUCGGCUCAUCACAUCCUGGGGCUGAAGUAGGUCCCAAGGGUAUGGCUGUUCGCCAUUUAAAGUGGUACGCGAGCUGGGUUUAGAACGUCGUGAGACAGUUCGGUCCCUAUCUGCCGUGGGCGCUGGAGAACUGAGGGGGGCUGCUCCUAGUACGAGAGGACCGGAGUGGACGCAUCACUGGUGUUCGGGUUGUCAUGCCAAUGGCACUGCCCGGUAGCUAAAUGCGGAAGAGAUAAGUGCUGAAAGCAUCUAAGCACGAAACUUGCCCCGAGAUGAGUUCUCCCUGACUCUUUAAGGGUCCUGAAGGAACGUUGAAGACGACGACGUUGAUAGGCCGGGUGUGUAAGCGCAGCGAUGCGUUGAGCUAACCGGUACUAAUGAACCGUGAGGCUUAACCU
rnacentral:rRNA from 1 species